rnacentral:lncRNA from 1 species
CGUAGCUAAGCGUGGAGCUGAAUUCCCCAAUUGUCCGACUGUUGCUGAGUAGUUUUCGAAUAUCAAACGGACCUCCCCAAAAGGUAAAUUUAGAGUUGUAGCUAUGAGUGUUACAGAUGGUCUGAUGAGAAGAAUGAAAGUGAUUGACCGUCAUUGCUUCUUCUUCGGGAGAAGAAGUUCACGACACUUUAAGCUUUAUGAGCUUAAGUGAGACUGUGCGAGGUUUAGACGUAAAAAAAAGUUUUAAAAUUUAUAGUCAUUUUAAAAAUUAUUUAAUAAUUAAAACAAUACAUAUUAAACAUCCAAAAUUGUAAAAUACAAUAUUUACUUAAUAACUCCUACCACUAGUCAAUUAUACAAUUUUCAAAAUUUUGAUCAAAUGCAAAAAUUAAAAUGGUUUUCAAUAGUUUGGAUUUUCAACUAGACAAAUCAUACUUCAUAGAUUUAUAAGAACUUCAUACAUGUUUUUGGAGUUUGUAAGAAGAUGAGUUUCGAGAUCAAAAUUAUGUAAUGUAGAUAACACCAUAACUUAAAUCUUAUUAAACUAUUUAGAUAAAGUCAUUUUUAACAUUUGUACGUAUAAAAUAUUUUAAAAACUUGUAAGUAAAGUCAAAUAAUAAGCUUUGGUAAAAAACUAAUAAAGCGCGUUUACAGGAGAUAAAAGAAAUGAAGGAAGAAAUUCAACCAUUUAGGAAUUGAAAAAAAAAAAGUGUCUAGACGUGAAUCAAGGAAUUUUGUCUGAGCUUCAAGAUUAGCACCGUCGCAUAUGCCAGCUUUUUAGAACACCUAUGCCAAUAUCAUGAAUGUUUCUCUUCUUUCAAUUCUUGUCUUCAACGGAGAAUGCAAUGAAUUCUAGAGCAUUAAAAUGAGGAACUUGUUUAAGUCUCGAGAUCUUUGGGACUUAGUUGAGAAUAAAUAUCCUGAUCCAAAUGAGGAGACAAAGUUGAAAGAAAAUAAGGACUCUUGGGCAUUAUUCUUCUCUCAAAAAGCAGUCCAUGAGAGUAUUUUCUCAAAAAUUGCAAUAGUAGCUACAGUAAAAGAAGCUUGGAGAAUAAUGCAGACAGUGUUCCAAAGUUCUAAAAAGGUAAUCAUAGUGAAACUUCAACUUCAAUCAUAGAGAAAAGUUGUAGGAGGGUUGUAUGCCUAUGUACAUUUUCAGUGAUCGUGAAUCGUCACUGCAUUACCGUGGAGAUCAUCUUCGAUGACUUGUCUAUAUAUGUAUACGAUCCCAAUCAUUCAUGUCUGACACAGGGUCAACUCGAGUAAAAUUUAAAGCUGAUGGCUAUGAUCGUACCUCUGAUGGCUAAACAAGCUGGAGUGACUGUGCAGGACAAAUUAGCCAUCGUACGGGACACAACGACGGUGAGACAAUCAAUAUUGUAAGUAUUUGUAAUUUUUUUAACUUUAAAACUUAUUUUUAGCUACAGGGUACCGAACUAAAACAUUAUUGUUCAAUACAGGGACGGUUGCAGCAUAUUUACCUUAAAGUACAUUGAAUUUUUUAAUAUAGUACAUAAAGUUAAUGGAAUCAAUCAAUCAUAG